rnacentral:misc_RNA from 1 species
GAUGAAGAACGCAGCGAAAUGCGAUAAGUAAUGUGAAUUGCAGAAUUCAGUGAAUCAUCGAAUCUUUGAACGCAUCUUGCGCUCCUUGGUAUUCUGAGGAGCAUGCCUGUUUGAGUGUCAUUAAAUUCUCAACUACACUGACUUUGAAUUGGUGUGGCUUGGAUUUGGGGGGAAAAUUGUUGUGGGCUUUUUGUACAGUCUGCUCCCCUGAAAUUGAUUAGCGGUACCUUUGUGGAACUGUCUACAGGUGUGAUAAUUAUCUUCAUCUUAGACAUCUGCUGGAAUGCUGCUUUCUAAACCUUACUUGUAUUGACAAUCUUGACCUCAAAUCAGGUAGGACUACCCGCUGAACUUAAGCAUAUCAAUAGCGGAGGA